rnacentral:rRNA from 1 species
AGUGGGAGGAAACAACCUAACAAGGAUUCCCCUAGUAACUGCGAGUGUAUGCGGGAAAAGCUCAAAUUUAAAAUCUGGCGGUUCUUGUAGCCGUCCGAGUUGUAAUUUAGAGAAGUGUUAUCCGCGCUGGACCGUGUACAAGUCUCCUGGAAUGGAGCGUCAUAGAGGGUGAGAAUCCCGUCUUUGACACGGACUACCAGGGCAUUGUGAUGCGCUCUCAAAGAGUCGAGUUGUUUGGGAAUGCAGCUCAAAAUGGGUGGUAAAUUCCAUCUAAAGCUAAAUAUUGAGGAGAGACCGAUAGCGAACAAGUACCGUGAGGGAAAGAUGAAAAGAACUUUGGAAAGAGAGUUAAACAGUACGUGAAAUUGCUGAAAGGGAAACGCUUGAAGUCAGUCGCGUUGUACAGAACUCAGCCUUGCUUUGCUUGGUGUACUUUCUGUGCGACGGGUCAGCAUCAGUUUUGGUCGGCGGAUAAAGGCUUGGAGAAUGUGGCACCUUCGGGUGUGUUAUAGCUUCAGGUUGUAUACGUCGGCUGGGACUGAGGAACUCAGCACGCCGCAAGGCCGGGUCUUUGACCACGUUCGUGCUUAGGAUGCUGGCAUAAUGGCUUUAAUCGACCCGUCUUGAAACACGGACCAAGGAGUCUAACAUGCCUGCGAGUGUUUGGGUGGAAAACCCGAGCGCGUAAUGAAAGUGAAAGUUGAGAUCCCUGUCGUGGGGAGCAUCGACGCCCGGAGCAGACCUUUUGUGACGCAUCCGCGGUAGAGCAUGUAUGUUGGGACCCGAAAGAUGGUGAACUAUGCCUGAAUAGGGUGAAGCCAGAGGAAACUCUGGUGGAGGCUCGUAGCGAUUCUGACGUGCAAAUCGAUCGUCGAAUUUUGGGUAUAGGGGCGAAAGACUAAUCGAACCAUUAAAACAAAACUAUAAGCUACUUGGUUGCUUAAGAGGCCGUUGAAAGACGUUUGCCUAGUAGAAGUGAAGGAAUGGCCAACACCGUUUCAAUUUGUGGGA